AUCCCUCCAUUUAUACCCAAACGCAAAUUUUUUAUCUUAGAAUAGUAGUUUUCGAAUAUCUGAAAUAAGCUGGUAUAACUAUCCUCACCAACACCUUCAUUUUCUAUAUAUAACUACCCACUAUUUUUCUUAUUCCAUAUUAUCUAUCCAAACGUUAUUUUUCUUAUUCCCGGGAGCAACCUAAUUUUCAUCAAAAUGCUAUUUGUCUUAUCCCCAUACUUGUACCUGUUCCUGGAAUAGCUAGUUCUUGCUUAUACCUGAACCAAAUGCUAAAGGACAAGAUUUCCGUGUGGGAAAGAGUUUUAAAAAAAGUUUUCUGGCUGUCAUAACUUUUAGUAUUUCAAAAUGAGUUUCCCGAUAGGAAACGUUUUAAACUAAUAGAUGUAGAUUUAUGAAGACAACAUUACAAUCUUGUGAAUGAAUUUAUGUGAUGUGGUGAAUGUGUAUGGUUGUUUAUAUACUGUGGUUAUAUCUUGUACUUGUGCGACGCUGUGCAAAUAUAGGGGAGACUCUGUUCGUGUGAACAGUGAGCUUCCUGUGUUUGUGGCAGAUUUGA
rnacentral:lncRNA from 1 species